rnacentral:rRNA from 1 species
GAUGAACGCUGGCGGCGUGCCUAAUACAUGCAAGUCGAGCGAACAGACGAGGAGCUUGCUCCUCUGACGUUAGCGGCGGACGGGUGAGUAACACGUGGAUAACCUACCUAUAAGACUGGGAUAACUUCGGGAAACCGGAGCUAAUACCGGAUAAUAUAUUGAACCGCAUGGUUCAAUAGUGAAAGACGGUUUUGCUGUCACUUAUAGAUGGAUCCGCGCCGCAUUAGCUAGUUGGUAAGGUAACGGCUUACCAAGGCAACGAUGCGUAGCCGACCUGAGAGGGUGACCGGCCACACUGGAACUGAGCCACGGUCCAGACUCCUACGGGAGGCAGCAGUAGGGAAUCUUCCGCAAUGGGCGAAAGCCUGACGGAGCAACGCCGCGUGAGUGAUGAAGGUCUUCGGAUCGUAAAACUCUGUUAUUAGGGAAGAACAAAUGUGUAAGUAACUAUGCACGUCUUGACGGUACCUAAUCAGAAAGCCACGGCUAACUACGUG